AUGAAGAAAUAUGCAGAUAGAAACAGAACAGGUAGACAAUUUCAAGAGGGAGACAUGGUGUACUUAAAAAUGCAACUGUACAGAUUGGCUGCAUUCAACAUCAGAUCAGGGCUCAAAUUAGCCACUAAAUUCUAUGGUCCUUACAGAAUAUUACAGAAAAUUGGAAAUUCCUCAUACAAACUACAGCUACCAGCUAGAGUGCAGAUACACAAUGUGUUUCAUUUCAGUCAACUCAAACGACACUUAGGGCCUAAUGCAGUUCCAGAUCCAGACUUGCCCUUGGUGGAUGCAACUGGUAAGGUUAAAAUAGCCCCCAUCUCGGUGCUGGAAACAAGAGCUGUACCCAGACAACCUCAUUUGGUCACACAAUGGCUAGUCCAGUGGCUGAACAUGUCGCCUGACGAAGCUACAUGGGAAGACGCCGAUUUUAUCAAAGUCACCUUCCCGAAGUUCUUCAACAGCACCAUUCAUUCGUGGUUUCCAAAUUCCGAUCCUCGAGGACAAGGAUCGUCUCCAGGAGAGGGCAGUUGUCAGGACCCUGACAAGUUGUUCCUGUUAACUGAAGAACGAGACACUAGCUCUGAAGAAAUGGAAUUCAGUCUCUGGGAAUCGGACGGCUCGGAUCAAUUGGGCUAA
rnacentral:rRNA from 1 species